CAGCCACCAUUUAAAGAGUGCGUAAUAGCUCACUGGUCGAGUGACUCUGCGCCGAAAAUGUACCGGGGCUAAACGUAUCACCGAAGCUGCGGACUGUUCUUCGAACAGUGGUAGGAGAGCGUUCUAAGGGCUGUGAAGCAAGACCGGAAGGACUUGUGGAGCGCUUAGAAGUGAGAAUGCCGGUAUGAGUAGCGAAAGAGGGGUGAGAAUCCCCUCCACCGAAUGCCUAAGGUUUCCUGAGGAAGGCUCGUCCGCUCAGGGUUAGUCGGGACCUAAGCCGAGGCCGAAAGGCGUAGGCGAUGGAUAACAGGUUGAUAUUCCUGUACCACCUCCUCACCAUUUGAGCAAUGGGGGGACGCAGGAGGAUAGGGUAAGCGCGGUAUUGGAUAUCCGCGUCCAAGCAGUUAGGCUGGGAAAUAGGCAAAUCCGUUUCCCGUGAAGGCUGAGCUGUGAUGGCGAGCGAAUUAUAGUAGCGAAGUUCCUGAUUCCACACUGCCAAGAAAAGCCUCUAGCGAGGUGAGAGGUGCCCGUACCGCAAACCGACACAGGUAGGCGAGGAGAGAAUCCUAAGGUGAUCGAGAGAACUCUCGUUAAGGAACUCGGCAAAAUGACCCCGUAACUUCGGGAGAAGGGGUGCUCUGUUAGGGUGCAAGCCCGAGAGAGCCGCAGUGAAUAGGCCCAGGCGACUGUUUAGCAAAAACACAGGUCUCUGCGAAGCCGUAAGGCGAAGUAUAGGGGCUGACGCCUGCCCGGUGCUGGAAGGUUAAGAGGAGCGCUUAGCGUAAGCGAAGGUGCGAAUUGAAGCCCCAGUAAACGGCGGCCGUAACUAUAACGGUCCUAAGGUAGCGAAAUUCCUUGUCGGGUAAGUUCCGACCCGCACGAAAGGCGCAACGAUCUGGGCACUGUCUCAACGAGAGACUCGGUGAAAUUAUAGUACCUGUGAAGAUGCAGGUUACCCGCGACAGGACGGAAAGACCCCGUGGAGCUUUACUGCAGCCUGAUAUUGAAUGUUGGUACAGCUUGUACAGGAUAGGUAGGAGCCUUGGAAACCGGAGCGCCAGCUUCGGUGGAGGCAUCGGUGGGAUACUACCCUGGCUGUAUUGACCUUCUAACCCGCCGCCCUUAUCGGGCGGGGAGACAGUGUCAGGUGGGCAGUUUGACUGGGGCGGUCGCCUCCUAAAAGGUAACGGAGGCGCCCAAAGGUUCCCUCAGAAUGGUUGGAAAUCAUUCGCAGAGUGUAAAGGCACAAGGGAGCUUGACUGCGAGACCUACAAGUCGAGCAGGGACGAAAGUCGG
rnacentral:rRNA from 1 species